rnacentral:rRNA from 1 species
UCGCUGUGAAGAUGCAGUGUACCCGCGGCAAGACGGAAAGACCCCGUGAACCUUUACUAUAGCUUGACACUGAACAUUGAGCCUUGAUGUGUAGGAUAGGUGGGAGGCUUUGAAGCGUGGACGCCAGUCUGCGUGGAGCCGACCUUGAAAUACCACCCUUUAAUGUUUGAUGUUCUAACGUGGACCCGUGAUCCGGGUUGCGGACAGUGUCUGGUGGGUAGUUUGACUGGGGCGGUCUCCUCCUAAAGAGUAACGGAGGAGCACGAAGGUUGGCUAAUCCUGGUCGGACAUCAGGAGGUUAGUGCAAUGGCAUAAGCCAGCUUGACUGCGAGCGUGACGGCGCGAGCAGGUGCGAAAGCAGGUCAUAGUGAUCCGGUGGUUCUGAAUGGAAGGGCCAUCGCUCAACGGAUAAAAGGUACUCCGGGGAUAACAGGCUGAUACCGCCCAAGAGUUCAUAUCGACGGCGGUGUUUGGCACCUCGAUGUCGGCUCAUCACAUCCUGGGGCUGAAGUAGGUCCCAAGGGUAUGGCUGUUCGCCAUUUAAAGUGGUACGCGAGCUGGGUUUAGAACGUCGUGAGACAGUUCGGUCCCUAUCUGCCGUGGGCGCUGGAGAACUGAGGGGGGCUGCUCCUAGUACGAGAGGACCGGAGUGGACGCAUCACUGGUGUUCGGGUUGUCAUGCCAAUGGCACUGCCCGGUAGCUAAAUGCGGAAGAGAUAAGUGCUGAAAGCAUCUAAGCACGAAACUUGCCCCGA